rnacentral:rRNA from 1 species
UACCAGCACCCCGAGUGGUCGGUACGAUUAUUGGGCCUAAAGCAUCCGUAGCCGGUUCUACAAGUCUUCCGUUAAAUCCACCUGCUUAACAGAUGGGCUGCGGAGGAUACUAUGGAGCUAGGAGGCGGGAGAGGCAAGCGGUACUUAGUGGGUAGGGGUAAAAUCCGUUGAUCCAUUGAAGACCACCAGUGGCGAAGGCGGCUUGCCAGAACGCACUCGACGGUGAGGGAUGAAAGCUGGGGGAGCAAACCGG